rnacentral:rRNA from 1 species
GCAUCUGGCGUCCCGACGAGAUCGGGAGUUUCCCUACGGGACAGAUGCGUAGGUGCUGCAUGGUUGUCGUCAGCUCGUGCCGUGAGGUGUCGGCUUAAGUGCCAUAACGAGCGCAACCCUACCGUAGUUGCCAUCAGGUCAAGCUGGGGACUCUAACGGGACUGCCAUCGUAAGGUGCGAGGAAGGUGGGGAUGACGUCAAAUCAGCACGGCCCUUACUCCGGGGCGACACACGUGUUACAAUGGGUGGUACAAAGGGCAGCUACAUGGCGACAUGGUGCCAAUCUCCAAAACCACUCUCAGUUCGGAUCGGAGUCUGCAACUCGACUCCGUGAAGCUGGAUUCGCUAGUAAUCGCGCAUCAGCCACGGCGCGGUGAAUACGUUCCCGGGCCUU